UAUUUGCAUAAAGAUGUAGCUUUUAGCAGCUGCUUUGGUCUAAAUAUUUUUCUGCCUCAACAUGGUUUACAUGCAUGUACAAUGCAAUUAUUAACGCAUAUCAUUUGGUUUUCCGCCAAAUGUUUACCCAUCAAAUGUACUGCACCGGCCUUGUACUAAGUUUGAUUGCACACUUUCCAACAUGGAAGGUAAAUCUAUAUUGAAAAAUAUAAUCACCAAAUGAACCUUGUAAAAUGCAAUACUGUCCUCUACCGGUGAAACCUGAGGGGACUUAUGGUUUACGCUCUGUGCGUCAGUCUGUGAGUCUGUCAGUCUGUUACACUUUUCUGGAUCCUGCGAUAACAUAAAAAGUUCUUCAUAUUUAUUAUGCCCCCCUUCGAAGAAGAGGGGGUAUAUUGCUUUGCACAUGUCGGUCGGUCGGUCUGUCGGUCGGUCGGUCCGUCCACCAGGUGGUUUCCGGAUGAUAACUCAAGAACGCUUAGGCCUAGGAUCAUGAAACUUCAUAGGUACAUUGAUCAUGACUCACAGAUGACCCCUAUUGAUUUUGAGGUCACUAGUUCAAAGGUCAAGGUCACUGUGACCCGAAAUAGUAAAAUGGUUUCCGGAUGAUAAUUCAAGAACGCUUAUGCCUAGGAUCAUGAAACUUGAUAGGUAGAUUGAUCAUGACUCGCAGAUGACCCCUAUUGAUUUUCAGGUCACUAGGUCAGAGGUCAAGGUCACGGUGACCCGAAAUAGUAAAAUGGUUUCCAGAUGAUAACUCAAGAACCCUUAUGCCUAGGAUCAUGAAACUUGAUAGGUAGAUUGAUCAUGACUCGCAGAUGACCCCUAUUGAUUUUGAGGUCACUAGGUCAAAGGUCAAGGUCACGGUGACCCGAAAUAGUAAAAUGGUUUCCGGAUGAUAACUCAAGAACGCUUAUGCCUAGGAUCAUGAAACUUUAUAGGUAGAUUGAUCAUGACUCGCAGAUGCCCCCUAUUGAUUUUCUGGUCACUAGGUCAAAGGUCAAGGUCACGGUGACCUGAAAUAGUAAAAUGGUUUCCGGAUGAUAACUCAAGAACGCUUAUGCCUAGGAUCAUGAAACUUGAUAGGUAGAUUGACCUUGACUCGCAGAUGACCCCUAUUGAUUUUCAGGUCACUAGGUCAAAGGUCAAGGUCAUGGUGACCUGAAAUUGUAAAAUGCUUUCUGUAUGAUAACUCAAGAAUGCUUAUGCCUAGGAUCAUGAAACUUGAUAGGUAGAUUGAUCAAGACUCGCAGAUGACCCCUAUUGAUUUUGAGGUCACUCGGUCAAAGGUCAAGGUCACUGUGACCCGAAAUAGUAAAAUGGUUUCCGGAUGAUAACUCAAGAACGCUUAUGCCAAGGAUCAUGAAACUUGAUAGGUACAUUGAUCAUGACUGGCUGAUGACCCCUAUUGAUUUUCAGGUCAUUAGGUCAAAGGUAAAGGUCACAGUGACAAAAAACAUUUUUACCAAAUGGCUGUUACUACAACUGAGAGCCCAUAUGGGGGGACAUGCAUGUUUUACAAACAGCCCUUGUUUUUUUAUGAAACUUGAAACAUGUACAGAUGGCAAUAUGGAGAUUAUGCAUGUAAUUUUAUUUUCUUCCUACGUCAAUAAUUCUGGUAGCUAUGGCAGCAAAUAGACUAGAAAUAUUGCUGAAAAUGGUGGAUCCUGCGAUAACUUUAGAAGUUCUUGAUAUUUUUUCAUGAAACUUGAAACAUGGAUAGAUGGCAAUAUGGAGAUUAGGCACAUCAUUUCAUUUUGUUCCUACGUCAAGAAUUAUGGUUGCUAUGGCAACAAAUAGACUAGAAAUAUUGCUGAAAAUGGUAGAGUUUCACCGGUAGGGGACUUAUAUGCUUGGCAAAAGUCUUGUUUUUCCAAAGACCUUUCCAUUCCCAUAUUUAAAGACCUCUUCCCAUUUUCACAAUAGGGGACUUAGAGGUUUACCCUAUGGACUCUCCAUUUGUCUUCCCUAUGGACUCUCCAUCUGUCUUCCCUAUGGACUCUCCAUCUGUCUUUAGAAAUAAUCUGGAUCUUGUGAUAAUUCAAUAGGACUUAAUAAAACUUGGUUUGUGGAUAGAUUGCAAAAUGGGAAAUUUGAUAUGCUUAUAAAACUUGGUCUUCAGUUUUUUUCCUCAUAUAAAAAAGUAGUUUCUUUGGCUACAGCAAUAUUUGAAAGCUAAAGUAUUUAUGCUGUGAUUACUCAAAAAUUGCUUAUUUUGCUUAGUUGAUGAAACAAGGUAUAUGGAUAGUGGGCAAAGUUUUUGUCAGGUUUUUCUACAGAAGAAGUUGUUGUUUGCUAUGAAAUAAGUCAUAAUUAAGAUGUUCUCCGUGUUAUCAUCAUAAAAAGAAUGUUCUCCAUGUUAUCAUCGUAAAUGAAUGUUCUCCGUGUUAUCAUAAUGAACGAAUGUUCUCCGUGUUAUCAUAAAUGAAUGUUCUCCAUGUUAUCAUCAUAAAAGAAUGUUCUGCAUGUUAUCAUCAUAAAUGAAUGUUCUCCGUGUUAUCAUAAUGAACUAAGGUUCUCCUUGUUAUCAUCAUAAAUAAAUGUUCUCCAUGUUAUCAUCAUUAAAGAAUGUUUCCCAUGUUAUCAUCAUUAAAAGAAUGUUCUCCAUGUUAUCAUCAGAAACUAAUGCUCUCCAUGUUAUCAUCAUAAGCUAAUGAACUCCAUGUUAUCGUCAGAAACUAAUAUUAUCCAUGUCAUCAUCAGCAACUAAUGUUCUCCAUGUUAUCAUCAUAAACUAAUGUUCUCCAUGUUAUCAUCAUAAACUAAUGUUCUCCAUGUUAUCAUCAUAAACUAAUGUUCUCCAUGUUAUCAUCAUAAACUAAUGUUCUCCAUGUUAUCAUCAUAAACUAAUGUUCUCCAUGUUAUCAUCAUAAACUAAUGUUCUCAAUGUUAUCAUCAUAAACUAAUGUUCUCCAUGUUAUCAUCAUUAUAUGAGCCUAACUCUGGGAAAACAGGGUUUCAUGCAUGUGCGUAAAGUAAUGUCACAGAUUAGUCUGUGCAGUCCACAAAAAAGUAUACAUUUACUACAGUAGACUCUCUGUAAACCGGACGGUCUGGGGACCGGCCUGAUCGUCCGGUUUUCAGAGAAUGUCGGUUUACCAAGAGUAUGCAUAUUGCAGAAAUAUACAUUGUAUGCAUUGUGUACAAAAUCAUAUAAUAAUAAAACAUACCAUAUACAUUUACAUGUACCAUGUGAUAACUGUACUCAUGUAAGGUUUAUGUUUAAAGCAUUCUUCACAAAAUGUGUUUUUAUUUGAUUAAUAGAAAAACCAUUCCAUACGGACUUGUUUUGAUUAAUCCCAAAGUUUUUGUGGUGCUUUAUCCAUGUACAUACGUGACAUUUGUCAUAUAGGCGAGUGAGUAGAGUUCGAGUUCGCUAUAAAAAGCUCUGAAUUAAUUAGACCUCAAAGAACGAUUUGUGAAGACUUGUAGAUUUGAGACUAUUAAUGCUGAAGAUGCGUUUGAAAUUUAAAAAAGGCAAUGAAUGAAUUUGCAGACAGAUGGAUGGAUAUUUAACGGUCAUAUUUCUCACAGUUUUAUCUGACAUACAAACAAACAACCAUUUAAGCGUUAAAAACAUGGCUAUUAGAUCUGUUAAACUACCUGAGAAGAUCACAAAAAAAGUGAUCGUUGCAACGGCAUGCAUUAAUUUUGUAAUUAAAUUGUUAAUCAUAAGCUUAAUAAAACGAUGAAGUCAAUCAGUUUAUGGUGUUACCGCACGUCUAUUAUAGAGAUUCACAGUUUGUUUUACAUUAUUAACCAGGUUUUCCGAAGGAAAAAACUGGUUAUUAGAUUGGCGAAUGCGGGCGGGUUGGCUGGCGGGCUGGCUGGCUGGCUGGCUGGCGGGCUGGCGGGCUGGCGGAAUAAGCUUGUCCGGGCCAUAACUAUGUCGUUCAUUGUCAGAUUUUAAAAUCAUUUGGCACAUUUGUUCACCAUCAUUGGACGGUGUGUCGCGCGAAAUAAUUACGUCGAUAUCUCCAAGGUCAAGGUCACACUUUGAGUUCAAAGGUCAAAAAUGGCCAUAAAUGAGCUUGUCCUGGCCAUAACUAUGUCAUUCAUUGUGAGAUUUUAAAAUCAUUUGGCACAUUUGUUCACCAUCAUGGGACGGUGUGUCCCACGAAAGAAUCACGUCAAUAUCUCCAAUGUCAAGGUCGCCACGACUAAAAAUAGAUUUAAAAAAAAAAAAAAACUUACAAAGGGGGUUAAUUUUUUUUGGUCAUUUCAAAAGUUCAGUUUGAGUUUUCUCCCUUUAUCAGAUUUUUUUUUCACAAUGAAAACCUGGUUUUGUGACAAUUUUGUCCCUUGUUUAAUCAGACUUCCUUAGCGCUGUAUCUACUUGACACCUUAAUGGUAUGUUUAAUAAGAUUAUCGAUAAUUGCGCGAGCAAAAUGUGUGACACCGCACGCGCUGUGCUGACUAGGUAUUGUAAUUUUCGCGCCUCGGGCAUCUUGAGAAUUUAUUUUACAUUGAAAAUGACCAAAUUCACAGAGAUAUCCGUUCGGUUUCCGGUUUUGAGAGAGUUCGGUUUAUUCAACAUUUUUUUAACAAAGAAAUAGAAGGAGAAAAUACGGGACUGACCCGACCGUUCGGAAUCGGGAGAGUUCCGGUAUUCAGGGAGUCCGGUAUUGGCAGAGUCUACUGUAUUUGUAUUAUGCUCUCUUUUCUUGAUGCUAUUCUUAGAGAUUUUAAUGCAUUUAGGGUUAGUACUUAUGUGUCUGCUACAACUUCUUAACUGUAAGAUUAUAUAGAUAAAUCAAUAUGUGUUAAUUUUUUGCCCUGUUUCAAUG